UGCGUAGGCGGGUCUUUAAGUCAGGGGUGAAAUCCUGGAGCUCAACUCCAGAACUGCCUUUGAUACUGAAGAUCUUGAGUUCGGGAGAGGUGAGUGGAACUGCGAGUGUAGAGGUGAAAUUCGUAGAUAUUCGCAAGAACACCAGUGGCGAAGGCGGCUCACUGGCCCGAUACUGACGCUGAGGCAAGAACGUGGGGAGGACAAC
rnacentral:rRNA from 1 species